GGAUGAAAAAUGAAGAAGUUAUGUUGAAUUAAAGUUUAGAUCUAGAAACUUAUUUCCUUCGAUCCAGAAAAUAUGUUGAGAAUUAGGCUUAGCUUUUAUGAUAUUUGGAAUCUACUCAUCAAGACCUUUCCAACGAUAUAAAUUUUAUAAAAUUCUGCAAAAAAAAAAACGAUGAACAGUAGCACCACCGUCUUCACGAAGAAGACGGUGGAAACCACCGCAUGAACCACCGCCUGGAACUGUAGCGCCACCACCUGGUUUGGAGGCUAGGGUUACACCAAAACGACGUCAUUUUGGCCA
rnacentral:lncRNA from 1 species